rnacentral:rRNA from 1 species
ACGAAGGGUGCAAGCGUUACUCGGAAUUACUGGGCGUAAAGCGUGCGUAGGUGGUUCGUUAAGUCUGAUGUGAAAGCCCUGGGCUCAACCUGGGAAUGGCAUUGGAUACUGGCGACCUAGAGUGCGGUAGAGGGUAGCGGAAUUCCCGGUGUAGCAGUGAAAUGCGUAGAUAUCAGGAGGAACACCAGCGGCGAAGGCGGCGCUCUGGGCCGGAACUGACGCUGAGGAGCGAAAGCGUGGGUAGCAAACAGGA